UAAACGACUCUCGGCAACGGAUAUCUCGGCUCUCGCAUCGAUGAAGAACGUAGCGAAAUGCGAUACUUGGUGUGAAUUGCAGAAUCCCGUGAACCAUCGAGUCUUUGAACGCAAGUUGCGCCCGAAGCUUCUGGCUGAGGGCACGUCUGCCUGGGCGUCACGC
rnacentral:rRNA from 1 species